AGAGUUGAUUAUGGCUCAGGAUGAACGCUAGCGGCAGGCUUAACACAUGCAAGUCGAGGGGCAGCGGGAUGUAGCAAUACAUUGCCGGCGACCGGCGGAUGGGUGCGUAACGCGUAUGCAACCUACCUUAUACAGGGGAAUAACCUUUCGAAAGGGAGACUAACACCCCAUAGUAUUGAUUUAAGGCAUCUUAGAUUAAUUAAAUAUUUAUAGGUAUAAGAUGGGCAUGCGUAUGAUUAGCUAGUUGGUAAGGUAACGGCUUACCAAGGCGACGAUCAUUAGGGGUUCUGAGAGGAAGGUCCCCCACACUGGUACUGAGACACGGACCAGACUCCUACGGGAGGCAGCAGUGAGGAAUAUUGGUCAAUGGGCGCAAGCCUGAACCAGCCAUGCCGCGUGCAGGAAAGACGGCCUUAUGGGUUGUAAACUGCUUUUACAUAAGACUAACCGUAUAUUUGCGAAUAUACCUGAAUGUAUUAUGAGAAUAAGGAUCGGCUAACUCCGUGCCAGCAGCCGC
rnacentral:rRNA from 1 species